CUGGCUCAGAACGAACGCUGGCGGCAUGCCUAACACAUGCAAGUCGAACGCACCUUCGGGUGAGUGGCGCACGGGUGAGUAACGCGUGGGAACCUGCCUUAUGGUUCGGAAUAACUCCGGGAAACUGGAGCUAAUACCGGAUAAGCCCUUCGGGGGAAAGAUUUAUCGCCAUGAGAUGGGCUCGCGUCCGAUUAGGUAGUUGGUGGGGUAACGGCCUACCAAGCCGACGAUCGGUAGCUGGUCUGAGAGGAUGAUCAGCCACACUGGGACUGAGACACGGCCCAGACUCCUACGGGAGGCAGCAGUGGGGAAUAUUGGACAAUGGGCGAAAGCCUGAUCCAGCAAAUGCCGCGUGAGUGAUGAAGGCCUUAGGGUUGUAAAGCUCUUUCGCACGCGACGAUGAUGACGGUAGCGUGAGAAGAAGCCCCGGCUAACUUCGUGCCAGCAGCGGC
rnacentral:rRNA from 1 species